UACAGAGUGCUCAAGCGUUGUUCGGAUUCAUUGGGCGUAAAGGGUGCGUAGGCGGCGCGGUGAGUCGGGUGUAGAAAUCGAUCGGGUCCUUAACUCCGAAACUGCUUACGAUACUGCCGAUGCUUGAGGACUGGAGAGGAGAGUGGAAAUUUACGGUGUAGCGGUGAAAUGCGUAGAUAGUCGUAAGGAAGACCAGUGGCGAAGGCGGGUCUCUG
rnacentral:rRNA from 1 species